ensembl:lncRNA
GGGAGGGUGGAUGGUGUGAAGAGAAUACCUGUGUGUACCAUCACAUCCCAGGGAUGUAGGUCAGAGGGACCAGUGAGGGCUCCACCAAAAACCUACAAAAGCAUGCGAGAAAGAAACAAUCUAGGUUUAAAUGUGCCAUGGCCUAGAGAUUGUGAAGGCUUUCACAGUGGAAAGGAUUAAGUUUGCCUUCAGAUCAACACUGCAGCAGUGUAAAAUAGAAGUUUAUUCCUCUUAGAUAGAAGUGACCGAGUAAUUCAUGGAGAGUCUUUUCAGACAGGUUCUAUAUGCUUCACUGCACCCAUAGCCCGUGUGUGUGAGUCUCAGAGGAAGCUGCUCAAGUCCCAGACUUCCCAGAAAAGGAAGAAGAGGGGAAGCGUAUGCCUCCUCCCUUCAAGGAGGCCUUCGGGCUAUCCCGCCCAACCCCUUUCUUAUACCCCAUUCAUCAGAGUUCAGUCACCUGGUCACAUUUAGCCAACAGACUGGAGGAGGUGCAACCUCAACCCCAGUAGUGGUGGGCCCAGCCGAUCAUCGUGAUCUUGUCUAAAGUGCCAGAGGCAUUCCAUGACCUCUGUCCCUCCAUUUUUAUGACACCUAUCAGGAGCUCUUGCUCCACACCAGGAAGGACCAGUGCAGCAGCUGUGGCCCAGAGAAGGAAGUAGGCGAAAAGGAAGACACCACAGCCUGCCUGCAUAGACCAGGCAGGGUGAGGAUCCAGCAGAAGCUCCUCCUGCCUUGGUCUUCUUUGACAGUCAGUCGGUCUACACGUUCCACUCUCUUCUUGCUGUAUUCUGUGACGCUGCAACCUUGGGGACUUUCUCGUACCUCCCAGAGGCUGGAGAACGUGCUGCCUUUGAAACCGUUCCUUGCUUCUCAAGAGGAACCCGCUGCCAGCAGUGAAGCCUCUAGUGGUUUUUAUUCUACUCUAAGCACAUGCAGUAAACCAUGCAGGAAGUUCUGUAUGCACACUGGAAUUGGAGGAAAAGUCACAAUUACUACUAACUCAAUGUAAGAAUUUCUACUGAGACUAUCCUGUAGUAACCUUUUCUGUAAAGGAUUAUGUGUUGAAUACAUUAGACACUGUGGCCAAUCACAGAUAAUAUGUAAUGAUUGAACCUAGCUGCAUUCUAAUAUUUUUAAAGGCAAAUGGGCUCCAGCUUCUGAAUCCUGGUAGGGAAAUUUCAUUUCUUCAUGUUUAGAUGGGUCAAAAUUAUUUUAAUCAAGAGAAAUGAAACAUUGUUGUUGCAUGCUCUUUAGCCAAUUUAAAUUGGACUAUUUCUAUAAAUCUCAAACAUUAUUAUUUUGUCUUAAAAAUGUUCGCUUGUGGGGAGAGGGGAAAAUGUCUGCAGUCCAAUGUCAUCCUUUCCUGAACAUGGAGUGGAAAAUAUUUAUUAAAAGUGGG